rnacentral:lncRNA from 1 species
CGUCAGAGACAAAUGUUUCACCCUGCAUGUGCAAAGCAAGUGGACUAACGUAGGUGGAGGAGGUGGAUUCCUGCAUCUUGCACUUCUCGUCUUUCUGCUCACCUCUGGGGACCUGUCAUCACCAUCAUCUACCCAGUAGAGAAAAGUCUCUCCAUAAGGGCCAUAACAGGAGCUUCCUGGAUCCUGGGUCUGCAUUUAGGGUUCCAAGUCAGCCGUGUCAAGAUUUGAACAAGAAUCAAGGAG